GGCACUUCUCGGCCUUUUGGCUAAGAUCAAAGUGUAGUAUCUGUUCUUAUCAGCUUAAUAUCUGAUAAUUAGUUACAGUUCCCUCUAUCAAAACUCUCU
rnacentral:snRNA from 1 species